UAUCUAUCGUUUAGAAAGUUUUUGUAUAUUGUAUCCUACGGUUCCCGAUCAAUUUCGUUCUCCAUCCUCGAUAAACCUCGAUUUCCGUCUCUGAUCAAUCUCUCUCCGAUCACACCGUUUCCGAUCGAUCUCGUUCCCUUCCACGAUCAACCUUUUUCUCCGUCUCCGAUCAACCUUUUUCUCCGUCUCCGAUCAACCUCGUCUUCCCUCUUCGAUUUACCUUGUUCUCCUCCAUCACAAAUCGAUCUUGUCUUGCACAUUCUUUGAUUGAUUUCAUCUACUUCCUCAUCCUCUCUUUAUCUGAUAGAUCUACCUUUUUCCUCAUCCCAAUCUUUGGUAAUGGCUGGAUGUGCUUCUUUGAAAAUGAAGAUAGAGGUAUGUGUUCCGUUUUAUAUUUAAAGAUCUCACUUGACUAGUGUUGUUGCAUUUACUACUGUAAAUGAAGCUUCUAUAUAGAUAUUAGAAAGGCAUUGGUUUAGUUCAAAUAUAUGAUGACCUCUAUUAAAAAGGAUAUAAAUGAACUAUUAGAGUUUGGUGAUUUUUUCUACUAAUCACCUUAAACACUAUUGAGAGGAUGAAGUUUAAAUUGUAUAGUGUUAAAAUCUGAAAUAGAAUAUGAUCAAUGCGGUACCUACUUAGAGGAUGAAGUUUGAAUUGUUUUGUGUUAGAAUCUUAAAUAGAAGAUGAUGAACGUGGUUCCUACUUAGAGGAUGAAGUUUGAAUUGUUUAGUGUUAGGAUCUUAAAUAGAAGAUGAUCAAUGCGGUACCUACUGCUAUAUCAAAUUAGUAUGCAAGUUUAAAAUAUAAUCAAAUCAUACUAAACGACAUGUCAUCAGAGUUGUAAACUUAUAAUAGUAGUUCUAAUUAUAAUUUCCUUUUUUGAAUGUGUAUGCUAAUCAGUUUAGUUUUUUUUAGUGAAUAUCAGUUGAAUGCUUACUCUCACACAGCUCUCUACCACUUUACUUUUUUCCGCCGUUUCCUAUACGUUGAGUUUUUGCAAAAUAAAGUAAAAACACUCUAGUCAGCAUGGAGGUUCUUGAAGUAGCUUUGUUAUUAUGUUUUGUUUAUUGAUAAAAUCUACGAAAUAAAGAUUCUAAUAAAAAUCAAGAUGGACAUCAUAUAAUAAGAUACAUAGUUAGUUAAUUGAAACUACUAUCUUUUCAAUUAUAAUUUGUUUCUUCAUAAACUCUGUUGUGAGUUAAUGAGUGAUUGUUUGAACAUCUCUACUGAGACUUUUUAUGUCUCUUGUUUCUGAAAAAUUUGCCUUUGUUCUUUGCUGCAUAUAAAGGCUGGGAGUUAGAUACAUCAUCAAUAACUUUAAUUGUUGGAUAUAUGAAAAAGAUUAUGAAGGUACAAUUUAGUCCAUUGCAUUAUAUAAAUGUAUUAGAGCAGGUCCUUAGUCUACAAUUGCACUUUAUCAUUUUUUUAAUAAUUUAUUCUAUUGUAUUAUCAAAUUAUUCCACUACAUUAUCAAUAUUUCAAAUUUAUGAUUGUUGUCAACUAGAAAUUAUAAAUAUUUGUUGCUCUGGUUAUACAGAACUAAGUAUUUUCCAUGGAAGAUCAAACAUGUUCCUGGUAAUAUUUGCAUACAUAUAUAUAAGCAAAUUCGUAAACGACCCAAAUUAUUGGUAACCUAAAAUUGUUUUAACAGGUAAAGCUGGUGGGUUGGCGCACACAGAUAAUCUAGUGCCUGUUGUACACGUUGGUCUCCUUGGAUUCCUUCUGUUCUAGGUAAUUAUUAGAAGACAGUGUAAUUAAGAAAGGUGGAAACUAGCUUGAUGAUCCAAGUACCCUUUUUAAAAGUGUCUAGAAUAAUAUUUUGAUGGAUGAUUUUUGAUUGACUGCGUGAAUGCGGCUAUAAUUUCCAACUAAUGAAUCUCAAUCCAUGGUAGAUAGCUUUGAUUUAAUUUGUUAACUGCAAGCGUGUAAUCACCUAUGGUUCUCAAUGAUGCUAGCUAUAAUUUUGAUUUAGUGCAUCCAACAAUAGUAGAAGUUAAAGAAGUAUUAUCAUGUGCCUGUUAAAUAUUUGUGUUGGUUUGUUGAUAUAUAUGAUUAAGUGUUUCAAUCAUGAUUUUAAUGUCUGAUUUUUCUCCAGAUAUUAUGAAGGAGAUUUUUUGUUUUUAGCCCGAGGCUUGUAAGUUGUGCGACUCGUCAAAUACCAGCCCUUUAUAUUCUGCUGUAAGCAAUGAUUUAACUAAAGCCCUUUAUUCAAUCUGUUGUAUGAGAUGUAUAAUAUGAAGCUUAUUCAGAUUAAUUUGGUUAUUGAUAUUUUGACUCACAUAGCUGGAUAUAUGGUUGCAUGAUUGCAAAUAUUGAUGGAGUAGCUACUACAUUUGCUGCAGGAGUAUAAAUGACAAGGUUUUAAAUGUUUUAUUAUACGAAGAAAUCAAGUUUGGAACCGUUUGAUAUUCGAUUUGAUGAGCACGCAUCGAAGGUUGCAUUUCCGCAUGGUACGAUGAUACCACCUAAUUCUUUUAAUACAAUGUACCAUUCUCUUGCGUUUUGGGCUUUGAUGCUUCUGGUGUCGGUUAGCAGGAUGGCUUCUAAUGUUUUUAGAGGUUAUUGGCGACAUAGGCUUAUUUGAGAAGUUGGGGUUAUGUUGCCGUCUAUCCUCCUAUUGUCUAUAGGUAUGGCAGAGUUUAGGCUUAUCCCUUUUCGGAGAAAGAUCUUCACGUGAGUGUCGGUAUCCUCCUAUUGUCUAUAGGUAUGGCAGAGUUUAGGCUUAUCCCUUUUCGGAGAAAGAUCUUCACGUGAACGUCGGUCGUUUAAUCAAGUAUUUGGUUUUGUGGAUAUUAAAUAAGCAUAGAUUGUUUGAAUAUUUUUUGAGAUGGGAUAAAUAUAUAUGUUAGAAUUGAUUAA